ensembl:lncRNA
UGUUCUACUAAUGGAAAUUAUCUAAUUUCAUCCAAGUGCAGCUCCAGAGAGAGCUGGGCUGACGCACAAACAGUCAAUAUAACAACAUUCUUCUUGAAGAGCUGAACAAUAGGGCUUUGGUGGGACUGUGAUUAACAACGUCAGACCGAGAACAAACAGAAGGUGUAAAAAUAGGCAUCUGAGGAGCUGACACAACGGACUAUUUUUCAUCUGUAAGGCCAGAGGAGAAUGGCUUGUUAAAUUGUGUGCUCGGAGCACUUCAUCAGAUGCCGUGUGGAAGAACAAAAAAAAAAAAAUAUCCCAUUUCCCAUCUGGGUCUGAGUGUACGAAGGAACUGCACAUGCCUUAUUAAUAUAAAUCAUACUAGGAGCAUAAUUCCCAUUAGCAUUGAAGAGCCGUUUUUCAAUGAAAGACUCUUGCACCAGGAACACCUAAGGGGAAAUAACAAUGUUUGCUUCAUUUGAAGAGAAUAGUAAAAUACAGCCUGGGGACUGAGGAGGCAGAGAGCUGUUCCUUCUCUCCAAUGCUACAGGUUUGGGGUUUCUAUGCAACUAUCAUGAGCCACCGCCUUCCCCACCCCCUCCCAGAAGCUGUAUCCACAUGUGGUGAAGAGGUGGGCAUCCAGAUGUGCCAGUCCAAGGAGUGGGACCAUGGGCACGUGUUGGCCCCCGGCCUCUGCAUUGCCCCAUGGGGAUGCGUUCCCUUUCCCUCAGUCCCAGCUCUCAAGGAAAGGAAGCUCUGGCCUUGAAACUUUAGACAACAUUUCCACCUCUGGUUAAGCAGCUCCAGGAUGAAUGAGUGCCUCGGGGAGCUGAGAAAUGAGACAACGCAGUGAGAAGAGGACAGUGAGUGCAGACACUGCCAGUACCGAACCUUUGGAAUUCACUGCUGCAGGACGGAUAGCCAACGACUCGUGGUGAUGUGCUCUAGCAGAAGGAAAAUCAAAGUGCCCUUUUAUAACUGUUCAGAUAUAAAGUGAAGGGCAUCCAGCCCCCUGACACCAGCAUGGAGAAUGAUGUGUGGGAGGGACUGUGGGAAAUGACCUCACCAUGCACGGCCAUGCCCACUGGCCGUGUUUCCAUCACACAGGGCACAGAGCAAGUGGGCAGUGCCCAGGGAGAGGACACAUCUCUUUUGGGCAGAUGGGUCCCAUUAGGGUUCUUUAAAGGCAGCAAUGGCACCAUUCUGCAGAGGUGUGCUCCUAGCAAGGAAGGCACUGUUUUAAAGCCCACCAGGCUGGUGCUCUCUGUGUUUAAGUCCACUCAGAGCAUGGAAGGAGGGCUGGAAGAAAACCAAUAAUUACUCUCAGAUAAAAUUAGUUUUACAAAGUGAUUUUCUUCUAGAAUCUUGGAUUCACACACGGGCUGCCUGUACUGUAGAUAUACCUGCAUUCUGAUAGCUCUAUUUCCAGUGUUCCUGCAUUUCUGACUGCUGUUGGCAAGAAGCUGUAGAUUGUUUCUCACACAGUUUUCUUAUGCAGUCUUUAGUGUCUCCUCCAAUCCUGGAUGUCCUUUAAACAUUGCACCUUUAAGGUACUGCUACUGCAGGGGCCACGGCAGGAGGCAUUACUGCACAAACCAGAUGAGUAUGGGGGAUUUAGGUGGAGUUACUCCAAUUAAACCACUGGAGAAUGCCCUGCUCUAGGAAUGGCAACUGCCCUAUUAAAGCAAGCUGGGUGUGUGCAUCCCAGCAGCUGUGCAGGAGCACAGCACAGUGGGGCAGCACUGCUGCCGUGUCUCCUCUCAUCAGCUGCUGGGGCUAAUUGCAGGGGCUCUCUGCAGACCUCUCAGCUUGUGUGGCCUGGAAAAUCCCAGGGACAAUCUUCAGGCAGUGCACAGGUGGGGUAACCCAUGGAGCCUGCAAUGCCAAAGCAGAGAGUUUGGGGAAUGGUGGCAGAAAAGCUUUUCUUCCAGGUGGAGUUAAUCCUCUGCAUGCUGACACCCCUGGGGGAGGGAGCAGGCAGGCAGGGUUGGAGAAAAUUUGGGAGACUGCUGUUUCAACUUUGAGCAGCUUAAACACAAACCCUACAGCACCAAGGGAUCGCAGCUCCAAAUGCCUGAAAAUGGGCUUCCCAAAGGCUGGCACACAGAGCAGAACUGCCUGACCCAACUGCAAGGAAACUCUGAGGAAGGGACCAUCUUGACCCGGCUGUCCCGCAGCAGGCAGCUUCCUUUCCCAGGGCUGUGGGGAUGCUAGUUAUUACCCUGGUGUUUUUAAAAAUAGGAUUGAUGUAGCUGCAAGUUUUCAUGAAAAAUAAAGAGAAAUAAAGGAAUGAAGAACGAAAGAGAAGAUAGAAAAAGGGGAAGAAAGGAAGGAAGGAAGAAAAGAAAGAAAAAGAAAUGAAGAAAGAAACAAAACAAAUGAAGAAAGAAGGAAAAAAAGGAAAGGAGGGAAGGGAAAGGAAGGGAAAGAAAGAAAUGAAGAAAGGAAAGAAAAAGAAAGGAAGGAAAGAAAGAAAAAGAAAUGAAGAAAGAAGAGAAAGAAAUGAAAAGUGAAAAGAAAGAAGUGAAAAAGAAAUUUAAAAAAAUGAAGAAAAGGACAGGAGAAAGAAGGAAGGAAGGGAGGAAGAAGAAGGGAAGGAAGGAAGGAAGAAAGUAUGAAAGGAAGAAACAAAGGAAGAAAAAAAUAGGAAAUAAAGUAGGAAAGAAAGGAAGAGGGAAAGAAAGUAAGGAAGAAGGGAAGAAGGAAAAAGAAAGAAAAGAAAGAAGGGAAAAAAAGAAAGAAAGAAGAAGGGAAGAAAGAAAGAAGGAGUGCGAAGGGCCGUGGCACAGCGGUGCCGUCGCGGAGCGGCGCGGAGCAGCGCGCAGCCCCAGCGCUGUGCCCUCGGCAGGUGGCGGCAGAGCGCGGCCGUGGGCCGGGGGGGGCCGGGGGUGCUCGGGCUGCGCUGCACCAGGGGGAUCCGAGGGGCCGUGCGAAGCGAUUGAAAAACGAAGUCUUCUAGAGAAAGCAGGAGUUUUGAUGUAUGGCAUCUAUGCGUUUCUAUCCGUAGGUAUAGACGGAACAAAAAAAGGCGUAUUUAAGCCUAAAAAAGAGAGAGAGCGUCGGGGUGGGACGCGGGGCGGCGGAGGGAGGCCCGGCCCCGGGCAGCUGGGUUGGGGGGGGGGGGGGGUGAUGGGGGGGGCCGGCCCAUCGCGGGGUGCUCCGAGCGGGGAGCGGAGCCGGGGAGCAGCGGUAGAGACGCGGGGUGCGCCCGGCUGCGGGCGUGCGGAGCUCGGGAGGUUCUUCUCCAUCUCCUCCUCGCUCGGCAUCGAGGGGAAAAAAAUAAUAAUAACAAUAAUAAAAAAAAAUCACAAUAAUAAAAGUCCUUCGGGACUCCAUUCCGCUAAAAAAAAAAAAAAAAAAAAAAAAAAAAAGCCAAGAAAACCGCAUCAUCUCCAGUCCAUUCGCCUCCUUCUCGAGUCCCUCGGAAAGCGAGAUUAAAGGGGAAAGUCGCAGCUGUAUAUUUGUGUUUUCAUUGCUAGAAGGGAAUUGAUUUCCUCGCAUUUAUUUUUGUAGUUGCAAUACACAAGGGCGGAUUUGCGUCACCCAAGCAACUUGCUGGUCGAGAUAAAGUUGCACAAAUAUUGAAAAGGGAAGUGCUCGCGCUCAUUAUGAAGUUUUUCUCCGGAAGAAAUAAGGAUUUCUGCUGUAUCCUAAAAUACUGAAGCCGCUUCUAUUUUAGGACAAAUCUCGCAGGCACAUCCGCUCAUUUAGUCCGAGUUGGAACCUCUCGAAAAAACAGGAGAUGACCCGGGCUGCAGCCGAGCCCCGCGCUUCCUGCAGCCUUCGGGCACCGCUGCGCACGGGCUGCGCGGCCGCGCAAAGCUGCGCGCCCC